rnacentral:rRNA from 1 species
UGCACCAGUUGUCACGCCAGUGGCACAGCUGGGUAGCUAUGUUGGGACUGGAUAAACGCUGAAAGCAUCUAAGCGUGAAGCCAACCUCAAGAUGAGAUUUCCCAUAGCGUAAGCUAGUAAGACUCCUGGAAGAACACCAGGUUGAUAGGUCAGAGAUGUAAGCAUGGCAACAUGUUAAGUUGACUGAUACUAAUAAGUCGAGGGCUUGACCAAAA